CGAACGCUGGCGGCGUGCUUAACACAUGCAAGUCGAACGGAAAGGCCCUGCUUUUGUGGGGUGCUCGAGUGGCGAACGGGUGAGUAACACGUGAGUAACCUGCCCUUGACUUUGGGAUAACUUCAGGAAACUGGGGCUAAUACCGGAUAGGAGCUCCUGCUGCAUGGUGGGGGUUGGAAAGUUUCGGCGGUUGGGGAUGGACUCGCGGCUUAUCAGCUUGUUGGUGGGGUAGUGGCUUACCAAGGCUUUGACGGGUAGCCGGCCUGAGAGGGUGACCGGCCAAAAUGGGACUGAGAUACGGCCCAGACUACUACGGGAGGGAGCAGUGGGGAGUAUUGCACAAGGGGCGGAAGCCUGAUGCAGCAACGCAGCGUGCGGGAUGACGGCCUUCGGGUUGUAAACCGCUUUCGCCUGUGACGAAGCGUGAGUGACGGUAAUGGGUAAAGAAGCACCGGCUAACUACGUG
rnacentral:rRNA from 1 species